rnacentral:rRNA from 1 species
ACGGGAGGCAGCAGUGGGGAAUAUUGCACAAUGGGGGAAACCCUGAUGCAGCGACGCCGCGUGAGCGAUGAAGUAUUUCGGUAUGUAAAGCUCUAUCAGCAGGGAAGAUAAUGACGGUACCUGACUAAGAAGCUCCGGCUAAAUACGUGCCAGCAGCCGCGGUAAUACGUAUGGAGCAAGCGUUAUCCGGAUUUACUGGGUGUAAAGGGAGCGCAGGCGGUAUUGUAAGUCUGAUGUGAAAAUCCGGGGCUCAACCCCGGAACUGCAUUGGAAACUGCAGUACUAGAGUGUCGGAGGGGUAAGCGGAAUUCCUGGUGUAGCGGUGAAAUGCGUAGAUAUCAGGAGGAACACCGGUGGCGAAGGCGGCUUACUGGACGAUAACUGACGCUGAGGCUCGAAAGCGUGGGGAGCAAACAGGAUUAGAUACCCUGGUA